CCUACGGGAGGCUGUAGUGGGGAAUAUUGGACAAUGGGCGAAAGCCUGAUCCAGCCAUGCCGCGUGUGUGAAGAAGGCCUUCGGGUUGUAAAGCACUUUCAGUGGGGAAGAAAGCCUUGGGGCUAAUACCCUCGAGGAAGGACAUCACCCACAGAAGAAGCACCGGCUAACUCCGUGCCAGCAGCCGCGGUAAUACGGAGGGUGCGAGCGUUAAUCGGAAUUACUGGGCGUAAAGCGCGCGUAGGCGGUCUGAUAAGCCGGUUGUGAAAGCCCCGGGCUCAACCUGGGAACGGCAUCCGGAACUGUCAGGCUAGAGUGCAGGAGAGGAAGGUAGAAUUCCCGGUGUAGCGGUGAAAUGCGUAGAGAUCGGGAGGAAUACCAGUGGCGAAGGCGGCCUUCUGGACUGACACUGACGCUGAGGUGCGAAAGCGUGGGUAGCAAACAGGAUUAGAUACCCCUGUAGUC
rnacentral:rRNA from 1 species